UUGAACGCUGGCGGCAUGCCUUACACAUGCAAGUCGAACGGUAGAGGGGCAACCCUUGAGAGUGGCGAACGGGUGAGUAAUGCAUCGGAACGUGCCCAGUCGUGGGGGAUAACGCAGCGAAAGCUGUGCUAAUACCGCAUGUGAUCUGUGGAUGAGAGCAGGGGACCGCAAGGCCUUGUGCGAUUGGAGCGGCCGAUGUCAGAUUAGCUAGUUGGUAGGGUAAAAGCCUACCAAGGCGACGAUCUGUAGCUG
rnacentral:rRNA from 1 species